GGGUGACAGCCCCGUACACAAAAGCGCAUGUGCUGUGAGCUCGAUGAGUAGGGCGGGACACGUGGUAUCCUGUCUGAAUAUGGGGGGACCAUCCUCCAAGGCUAAAUACUCCUGACUGACCGAUAGUGAACCAGUACCGUGAGGGAAAGGCGAAAAGAACCCCGGCGAGGGGAGUGAAAAAGAACCUGAAACCGUGUACGUACAAGCAGUGGGAGCACAGGUUUACCUGUGUGACUGCGUACCUUUUGUAUAAUGGGUCAGCGACUUAUAUUCUGUAGCAAGGUUAACCGAAUAGGGGAGCCGGAGGGAAACCGAGUCUUAAUUGGGCGUUAAGUUGCAGGGUAUAGACCCGAAACCCGGUGAUCUAGCCAUGGGCAGGUUGAAGGUUGGGUAACACUAACUGGAGGACCGAACCGACUAAUGUUGAAAAAUUAGCGGAUGACCUGUGGCUGGGGGUGAAAGGCCAAUCAAACCGGGAGAUAGCUGGUUCUCCCCGAAAGCUAUUUAGGUAGCGCCUCGUGAAUUCAUCUCCGGGGGUAGAGCACUGUUUCGGCUAGGGGGCCAUCCCGGCUUACCAACCCGAUGCAAACUGCGAAUACCGGAGAAUGUUAUCACGGGAGACACACGGCGGGUGCUAACGUCCGUCGUGAAGAGGGAAACAACCCAGACCGCCAGCUAAGGUCCCAAAGUCAUGGUUAAGUGGGAAACGAUGUGGGAAGGCCCAGACAGCCAGGAUGUUGGCUUAGAAGCAGCCAUCAUUUAAAGAAAGCGUAAUAGCUCACUGGUCGAGUCGGCCUGCGCGGAAGAUGUAACGGGGCUAAACCAU
rnacentral:rRNA from 1 species